CUCCUAAAUAGCUGUAGGGCUAGCCUCAAGUGAUGAUUAUUGGAGGUAGAUCACUGUUUGGACGAGGGGCCCCUCUCGGGUUACAGAAUUCAGACAAACUCCGAAUGCCAAUUAAUAUAACUUGGGAGUCAGAACAUGGGUGAUAAGGACCGUGUUCGAAAGGGAAACAGCCCAGACCACCAGCUAAGGUCACAAAAUAUAUGUUAAGUGGUAAAGGAUGUGGCGUUGCCCAGACAACUAGGAUGAUGGCUUAGAAGCAGCCAUCAUUUAAAGAGUGCGUAAUAGCUCACUAGUCG
rnacentral:rRNA from 1 species